rnacentral:rRNA from 1 species
GACGAACGCUGGCGGCGUGCUUAACACAUGCAAGUCGAACGGAAAGGCCCUGCUUUUGUGGGGUGCUCGAGUGGCGAACGGGUGAGUAACACGUGAGUAACCUGCCCUUGACUUUGGGAUAACUUCAGGAAACUGGGGCUAAUACCGGAUAGGAGCUCCUGCUGCAUGGUGGGGGUUGGAAAGUUUCGGCGGUUGGGGAUGGACUCGCGGCUUAUCAGCUUGUUGGUGGGGUAGUGGCUUACCAAGGCUUUGACGGGUAGCCGGCCUGAGAGGGUGACCGGCCACAUUGGGAUUGAGAUACGGCCCAGACUCCUACGGGAGGCAGCAGUGGGGAAUAUUGCACAAUGGGCGGAAGCCUGAUGCAGCAACGCCGCGUGCGGGAUGACAGCCUUCGGGUUGUAAACCGCUUUCGCCUGUGACGAAGCGUGAGUGACGGUAAUGGGUAAAGAAGCACCGGCUAACUACGUG